CCUACGGGUGGCAGCAGUGGGGGAUAUUGCACAAUGGGGGAAACCCUGAUGCAGCGACGCCGCGUGGGUGAAGAAGCGCCUCGGCGCGUAAAGCCCUGUCAGCAGGGAAGAAAAUGCCGGUACCUGACGAAGAAGCACCGGCUAACUACGUGCCAGCAGCCGCGGGAAUACGGAGGGGGCAGGCGUUAUCCGGAUUUACGGUGUGUAAAGGGGGCGCAGACGGCGAUGCAAGCCAGGAGUUAAAGCGCGGGGUCCAACCCCGGGACUGCCGUUGAAACUGCGUGGCUAGAGUGCAGGAGGGGCAGGCGGAAUGCGUGGUGUAGCGGUGAAAUGCGUAGAUAUCAGGAAGAACACCGGUGGCGAAGGCGGCCUGCUGGAUUGAAACUGACGCUGAGGCCCGAAAGCGUGGGGAGCAAACAGGAUUAGAUACCCCUGUAGUC
rnacentral:rRNA from 1 species